rnacentral:rRNA from 1 species
UAUUUGGUCGUAGACCCGAAACCAGGUGAUCUACCCUUGGUCAGGUUGAAGUUCAGGUAACACUGAAUGGAGGACCGAACCGACUUACGUUGAAAAGUGAGCGGAUGAACUGAGGGUAGCGGAGAAAUUCCAAUCGAACCUGGAGAUAGCUGGUUCUCUCCGAAAUAGCUUUAGGGCUAGCCUCAAGUGAUGAUUAUUGGAGGUAGAGCACUGUUUGGACGAGGGGCCCCUCUCGGGUUACCGAAUUCAGACAAACUCCGAAUGCCAAUUAAUUUAACUUGGGAGUCAGAACAUGGGUGAUAAGGUCCGUGUUCGAAAGGGAAACAGCCCAGACCACCAGCUAAGGUCCCAAAAUAUAUGUUAAGUGGAAAAGGAUGUGGCGUUGCCCAGACAACUAGGAUGUUGGCUUAGAAGCAGCCAUCAUUUAAAGAGUGCGUAAUAGCUCACUAGUCGAGUGACACUGCGCCGAAAAUGUACCGGGGCUAAACAUAUUACCGAAGCUGUGGAUUGUCCUUUGGACAAUGGUAGGAGAGCGUUCUAAGG